rnacentral:tRNA from 1 species
CAGAGAAUANUCUANGUAGGAUGGUAGCUUUGGGGGUUGCAGGUGUGANUGUAGAUUCUUACUUUUCUGA